ensembl:lncRNA Novel transcript, antisense to SSR2
GCUUCCGGGUUGUCUCCUGAGAGGCAUUAUCAUCUGUACUUAGUUCCUGAAUUUCAAGGCAUCCCCAGCCCCCUAAUCUAACCACACACCCCUCUACUAAGUCAGCCACAGGCAUCUCAGACACUCUCCCUAAAUCAUCCCCAUGUCCUUGAUGUACUAGGUUCGUAAGUCAGUCAGGAAUUUUGCUGCUCUGGGCUUCCAAGUGUGACCACCUUUUUUUUUUUUUUAAUUGGUUAGUAAAGUGAACUUAGGGACCCUGCCCUCUUCCUUUCUGCUGGACCUGUAGCUAUAUGCUUAUUCUAUCAGGGGCUUGGGACCCAGACUAGCCCUUUAUUUAUGGCGGAUAGAGAAGAAAAGGGUCAAGACCAACCAGUCUUCUUCUACCUCCUGCCAGUUUCCUGGGCAUGUGUUCUGGGUGCUAUGCCAGAUGGGUGUGGCAAGAGAGGGUCUGAGGGUAAGGACCCAGGAAAGGGAAGAGGGAAACUCACCAGAACUGGGAGAUAUCCCAAAGAUGGGGGACCUGUUUCUGCUGUCAGUUGGUGACUUCAGUGUGGGAAAAAGUCCUGCUUCAGGUGGCCCCUUUAAGAACCCAGUCCAGCACUUUGGUGGGGGUCCCCUCUCUCUUGGUCCUUUUAAGGGAGCUGUUCAUGGUCCAGAAGUUUGCAUAAGAGAAAGGGGGGACUCAUUCCAGUCCAGAUCAGCUGCCUCUUCAUCCACUGUAGCCCUUCCUUUCCCCGCCCUACUUCAAACACCCUAAACAGUGCUGUGCCCAGGACCUUAACUCUUUCAGUGCCAUUACUGAUCCCAGGGACUCCUGGGUCCCUCUGUCUUCAGCAUUCCUUGAACACAGGGUGGCUACAAAAUUCAGACUUGUGUAGAAACAGGUACAAGAAGCCAUGCUGGGGUCACCCUGAGGAGAGAGUAUGUGGGAACCUGACACCCCAGGGAACGUUUACCCUUCCUCCAACAGGGUCAGGGAGAAACUGAGGAGGGGAGAAAGCGGACAUCUCUGGGAAAGAAACAGCUGCAGCUGGAAACCUACUUCACAGCAGGGUCCUCAGAGAGAUGACAGGAGGACAGCCACACAUAUCCAGCCUAUUUGAAGUACCCCUGCUGCUUUGCAGGCAAGGCUCUCCCUGCCCCCCGACCCUUCAUCACCAAGUGCCAAGAGGAUACGGGGCAAUCCGGUCCCAUUUGACAUUGAGCAUUCCAGACACAAUGCCAAAGUCUUCUGGAGGGAAGGAAUCAUCAGAUAGUUCCACGUCUAAUGCAGCACUAGAAAAUGGAUGAAACAAAAAGGAUAUCAUACUCUGAAGAUGGAAUGGCGACGUCAGUGAGGAGGCCAGAAACAGGGGUCUCCUCGACCUCACCCAAGAGGCAGCAGCAGGAAGAAGUAGGGCUCCAACUAAAAGCGGGAAAGUAGCCGGGCACGGUGGCUCACACCUGUAAUCUCAGCACAUUGAGAGGCUGAGGAAGAAGAUCCCAGCCUUGUUCAGACGAAGAGGCGGAAGCAGAACAAGGUUUGCAUUCUCCAGAUGAGGAAAAAUGAGGUG